UACGUAGGCAGCGAGCGUUGUUCGGAGUUACUGGGCGUAAAGAGCGUGUAGGCGGUCCGAUAAGUCCGCUCUGAAAGCCCGGGGGCUCAACCCCGGGAGGCGGGCGGAUACUGUCGGGCUAGAGUCCGGAAGAGGCAAGUGGAAUUCCUGGUGUAGCGGUGAAAUGCGCAGAUAUCAGGAGGAACACCGAUGGCGAAGGCAGCUUGCUGGGACGGUACUGACGCUGAGACGCGAAAGCGUGGGGAGCAAACAGG
rnacentral:rRNA from 1 species